rnacentral:rRNA from 1 species
ACUCCUACGGGAGGCAGCAGUAGGGAAUCUUCCGCAAUGGACGAAAGUCUGACGGAGCAACGCCGCGUGAGUGAAGAAGGUUUUCGGAUCGUAAAACUCUGUUGUCAGAGAAGAACAAGUUGGAGAGUAACUGCUCCAGCCUUGACGGUAUCUGACCAGAAAGCCACGGCUAACUACGUGCCAGCAGCCGCGGUAAUACGUAGGUGGCAAGCGUUGUCCGGAUUUAUUGGGCGUAAAGCGAGCGCAGGCGGUUCCUUAAGUCUGAUGUGAAAGCCCACGGCUCAACCGUGGAAGGUCAUUGGAAACUGGGGAACUUGAGUGCAGAAGAGGAGAGUGGAAUUCCAUGUGUAGCGGUGAAAUGCGUAGAUAUAUGGAGGAACACCAGUGGCGAAGGCGACUCUCUGGUCUGUAACUGACGCUGAGGCUCGAAAGCGUGGGGAGCAAACAGGAUUAGAUACCCUGGUAGUC